CUGAACAGUGUUGCGUUUGAGGAGCCGUGGUAGGAACUGCCCGUAGUAAUAGUCGUCAGCUGAUUUCGACUGGCUGGCUGGCUGAACAGUCAAGCCGUUGUUGAGGGGCGAGAGCCGAGGUACAACAUGGUGGUGGGGGCAGCCGUAUAGGGGGGAAGCUUUUAAAGCAAUAUCAGGGUCGUAUCAUCGUACGACGCCCCUGUCGCAUCGAUCUCCUCUUUUCUCGGAUAUUUUGCAAAUCUUAUCUGAAUUUGGAAAAUUAAAAAUCUGACGAUUCGAUAGGAAGUCAUCCUAGUUCUAUCUGCAGACUUAUUCAUUAGAGAUACAGUUUAAAGACGGCACUGUAUUUUGAAAAAGAUAUAAGAUGAGAUUCGAAAUUGCGUGGGCUGUAAGAACCACGAAAUUGAAAGAACCGUUAAUGCAGGAAGUGGAAAAUCAAUGAGGAGCUCCGUGACUUGGUUGCUGGUAGUGCAAGGCACUCGUAUAAAAUAUCUAGCACGGUGAUAAUGUAAUUCUUAACUGUCGUUAUUUAUAUUACACGAGAUAUAAUCGUUGACCCACCUUCAAUAAGCAACCCGUUUUUACGAUAAUAAAUAUCAAGUGCCGAUCAUAGAAUUCAAUCACAUAUAUGUUAAAAAGAUUUUGUCAAGAAUACGUUUCCAUAAAUUGAAAGAAUCGAGAAACAACGCAAAACGUAUUUCGGGUGAUUUUUAUUUUUAUGCUGACCUUCAUCUUGGCUGCUGAGAAUUCGCACCCAGCACGUGCGAGCAGCUUUAGCAACUGACGUAAUGUGAAUCUUUCGUAAUUUAGCGUACGCGACAGGUAAGUAUUUUUUUAAAGGAAGAACCCUCACGAACCGAGAAUUUGACGGGGGCCUGACGAUUCAUUGAUUCGUCAGUGAAAACAAUUCGGUAGUGAGGGAACGCUCAGCUGGGCGAACAGCUGCUGGCCGCUGUUAACGCUUGAACACUUGGAAAGCAUUUUUACCUAGCCUACUAAAAGAAUUUCCCUUUUUCCGCGAAAAUUCUGUGUCUAAAUUCUUUCAGGACCGAAAAGCCAGGUCCAAGUCUCUACCUGAAAAUAUACCAGCGAAAGGUCUCUUACCAUUCCUUUUCCUUGAAAUAAAGUAGCUUCAUUUAGCUCGUAGCGACAUCGUGUUGCCUGUAGUGGCAAUCAUAUGUAGCAGUGCUUCUCAAAAUAAUGUAAAGUUAACCAACUCGAUGUAAAAAAAUCAAUAGUCGAAACGUCAAAUCCUGCUAAAUAGAUCUUUGAUCUUUAUUCUUUUGAAUUGUAAUAAUCCUGCGAGAAACUUUCUUACUUGUAUAUUUAGGUUAUGUUUCAUCUAUGCUUAAUAUAGCCAUAACCUUGCCUAAACGGUGAAUGUGGCAUCCAAUGAAAUGUUGAAUGUAACCAUCGAAUACAUAAGCCUUUGUUCUUUAUUGUUUUAAGUCGUAAUAACUCUAUAAUAAGAUAUUUUGUUUCUUUUUUUUUCUUCUUUUCUUAUACAAUGUCUAGUUCAUGUCUAGGUUAUGUCUAGUUUAUACUCUAGUAUAUACCUUAAUAUAGACAUAACUUUAUCGAAACUUUAAAUAUAACGAUGCUGUAAUGUUUCCUCAAAAAUCGAAUAUCUCCGUGUAACGUUUGUUUGCUGGAUUAGAGGUAUUCGUAAAUCAAACGUAAUCUUAUCGUUGUUUACAAAUGAGUUUGAAGAGGUUGUAUGCGCACGCUGCUAUUUCAUACUGAUAGCUACGUAGAACAAUGUAUGACGAAAUUGGCGAAAAAUUAGAGCAGAAUGGAUUUCGAAGAUGGAAUACAAAUGAAUUUUGUGGAGUGAAUGGGACAAGAUUGGAAUACCACUCUAAACAGUAUGAACGAGACGCCUGCGCCAGUCUCCCCUGUCAAUACUGUUUGGGGGAUGCCUCCAUUUCGCUGUUGGAUUGAUACGAGUCAAUGCAUGCCAGUAACAAACCGGGCAUGAGAAACAUUUUGUUUCCUACGACCUAGUAUCGCCUACUUCUCUGACAUUGAUUUCUGGAAACCCUUAUGUGCUCAAAAAAUAACCCAAUCCCGAAAUCUAUCGAUCAGACGACUUGUUCCUUUAGCCUUCCGAAUGUUAUACUUUUGUCUUCUCAAAGAAACUCUUCUCACCAAAUUGACUUCAAGUAUGGAUAAAUCGUUAAUUUGUAAUUCCCUGGAAAAUAAUAUUUAGAAGCGAAGACGCACUGAAAAUACGUGGAAACAAAUUAAUGGAUUUUUAAUGUUCUGUUACAAGAUAUGUAUAUAUGCAGAGGGAGAUAAUUCAGUAGUAGGAAAACAAAAUUACGAUAAAAGUGUAAAAGGGGAACUUAUUCGGAUAUUUCGUUCUUUUUAAUGGAAAAAUUGUUAAUACGAUAUCGAACGUUGCGUAUGUGAGAUUUGAUAGCGUUCAAUUAAUUGAGGAAAUGUCAACAAUUGAAGAAAAUUAUUUUUUAUCCGUAACGAAAUUUCAAAAAUUUUGCAAUACGAAUAAUUUGUACAACGUAAAAUAGGGAGACGUGUUCAGGAUAAUCUUAUUAAAUAUCCGUCCGAGUCCCAGGAGUCGUUGUAAAAACAGGGUCGGAAAAUCCCAAAUAACACGAUAGCGCUUGUCUCAAUCGAUUACGAAGAGAACCAAGCGGCACAAUAUUGUUCGUCAUAUUUGUUACUUAUUUACCGAAUGUCCAGCUGGACGAAUUGUAAAAUACAAAUUAAAUAAUAAAAAAAAUAUAUA